rnacentral:rRNA from 1 species
GACGAACGCUGGCGGCGUGCCUAAUACAUGCAGGUAGAACGCUGAAGGAGGAGCUUGCUUCUCUGGAUGAGUUGCGAACGGGUGAGUAACGCGUAGGUAACCUGCCUGGUAGCGGGGGAUAACUAUUGGAAACGAUAGCUAAUACCGCAUAAGAGUAGAUGUUGCAUGACAUUUACUUAAAAGGUGCAAUUGCAUCACUACCAGAUGGACCUGCGUUGUAUUAGCUAGUUGGUGAGGUAGCGGCUCACCAAGGCAACGAUACAUAGCCGACCUGAGAGGGUGAUCGGCCACACUGGGACUGAGACACGGCCCAGACUCCUACGGGAGGCAGCAGUAGGGAAUCUUCGGCAAUGGACGGAAGUCUGACCGAGCAACGCCGCGUGAGUGAAGAAGGUUUUCGGAUCGUAAAGCUCUGUUGUAAGAGAAGAACGAGUGUGAGAGUGGAAAGUUCACACUGUGACGGUAUCUUACCAGAAAGGGACGGCUAACUACGUG